rnacentral:misc_RNA from 1 species
UCCCAAUUCCCGUGUUCCGUUCGUUCGGCUUGUAUAUCAAUAAUACAGCAAUCUGUCGGUACCGCGUACGUUUCUAAUUACCCUCAAUUACAUAGUUUGUUCUACGAAGUGAUGCGAAGCGGACUCAGGAAACGCGUUUCAACGAGAGAAUGAUAAAGCGCGUUAGAAAAACGUGUCGACGUAUGUGAAAGUUUGCUUUUCUUCCAACUUUCUAGGGCUUGGUCAAUGUUAUUCGGUUACUUUGUCCCAGUGUUUUGCUAUCUUAUAAACUGAUUUGCAUCUUCCACUAUUGUCUCAACAUUCUCUUGUCUGGCUAUAUGUAAACAAAUAAUGGCAACAGACGCCGAGGAGUCGGACACCGAUGAACGGCCCACUAAACGACUGCGUGUUGGCGAUAAAGAUCGUGUACAAAUGGAUCAACAAGAGAUAGAAACUGAAGAGAUUGUUGCAGGGAAUGCAAGUAGAGAAGAAAAUUACGAGGAUGAGGAAAGCAAUGAGAUUGAAACACGAGCCAGAGAACGUCUCAAGAAAUGGCAGGCAAGGCAAGUGGCCAAAGGUUUUGUAGACAACACGAUAAACCGUGUUCUAGAAAACUAUGUAAUGUCUCCACCAUUCAACGACAUAUAUCCUCGCCUUAUUACACGAACCAACGAUAUGGAAGACCGAGCAGUCGCGAUGGCCAUUCAAAAUCACGGGUUGGUACAACUGACCGCAAAUUAUGUACCCAGUGCAGAUCCUCCCGCCCGUCGCAAUAAUCCGGUAAACGAAUAUUGGGUUCGGGAAGACAGCGUAAUUGAACAAGAUCGAUGCAUGUGUCCUUUGAGCAUUGGGCAAAACAAAGCAGACACCUUGGCUGGAUCUGCUGCUUCCUCCGAUGAAACAUACGGAAGUUUGAAGCAGGAUGAGGAAAAUGCUUGCUGGGUCGGAGACAAAGGGGAUGAGAAUAAUCAGCAACAGGAUUUUCUUGAACGAGCAGUUGCUGAAGCAAUAAAGAAGAAAGGACUCAGCGCACUCAGCGUAGACUAUGGUUGACAACAAUUUGAAUUUACAAUUAUCGUUUUGCUGCUACUGUACUCAGUCAUCUUUAUUUUACAUCUAUAUCGGCAAACGGCUGGGAUGCAGCAACAAAUCAUGGAGAAUCUUAACAGUUCCUAAGCUGUAAUUAAUUGAAUAUUAUACGAUAAUAAUACCGAGUUAAGUUAUAUCAAGUAUUUUAAUUUUUAAUUUAGAAAAACCUAAUAGACUUAUAGAGAUUAUUAUAUUGACAGUAAAUUUUAUAACAAAAUAAAAUAUAAUUCCUUUAUGUAUAUACUAUAAGAAGCUUCUCGUUGGCCUUGCAAUUGUAUCCUUAUCCGUUAUUUUAAAUUAACAAUUUUCUUUAUAACUUGUUUACCACAUAUGCUUUUAAAAAAUUAGAAACUGAGAUGCAUGAAGCUAUCUAGAAUCAUGCGAUACUGUCAAUCAAUUCAACUGUUAAUCAUGGAGAGUCAUUUUUUGUAAAAAGCACUCUCUCCAAUGAUUUCUGGUUAAAGUCUUUUGCUUUCUUUUAUUGAGAAACACGAAAUUACUCUACCUUUUAAUGGAAUGACCAUCUCGUAGCACUCAGAUUUUGUCUCAAUUGACACCUUUCAGUAAAAAAAAUUUUAGUAGUUUGGCCUUGCACAGGACACAACAUUCAUGUUAUAGCGUCCGAACAAGGUGAGGUAGAACAAUAAGCUACCGAAUAUUGAAAGUUAUUUGAUAAUUGAGAUCUGAUUUUAAAUAAACAUGUUCUAAACGAAA